rnacentral:rRNA from 1 species
AUUGAACGCUGGCGGCAGGCCUAACACAUGCCAGUCGAGCGGAUGAAGGGAGCUUGCUCCUGGAUUCAGCGGCGGACGGGUGAGUAAUGCCUAGGAAUCUGCCUGGUAGUGGGGGAUAACGUCCGGAAACGGGCGCUAAUACCGCAUACGUCCUGAGGGAGAAAGUGGGGGAUCUUCGGACCUCACGCUAUCAGAUGAGCCUAGGUCGGAUUAGCUAGUUGAUGGGGUAAAGGCCUACCAAGGCGACGAUCCGUAACUGGUCUGAGAGGAUGAUCAGUCACACUGGAGCUGAGACACGGUCCAGACUCCUACGGGAGGCAGCAGUGGGGAAUAUUGGACAAUGGGCGAAAGCCUGAUCCAGCCAUGCCGCGUGUGUGAAGAAGGUCUUCGGAUUGUAAAGCACUUUAAGUUGGGAGGAAGGGCAGUAAGUUAAUACCUUGCUGUUUUGACGUUACCAACAGAAUAAGCACCGGCUAACUUCGUG